rnacentral:rRNA from 1 species
AUUGAACGCUGGCGGCAGGCCUAACACAUGCAAGUCGAGCGGUAGAGAGAAGCUUGCUUCUCUUGAGAGCGGCGGACGGGUGAGUAAUGCCUAGGAAUCUGCCUGGUAGUGGGGGAUAACGUUCGGAAACGGACGCUAAUACCGCAUACGUUCUACGGGAGAAAGCAGGGGACCUUCGGGCCUUGCGCUAUCAGAUGAGCCUAGGUCGGAUUAGCUAGUUGGUGGGGUAAUGGCUCACCAAGGCGACGAUCCGUAACUGGUCUGAGAGGAUGAUCAGUCACACUGGAACUGAGACACGGUCCAGACUCCUACGGGAGGCAGCAGUGGGGAAUAUUGGACAAUGGGCGAAAGCCUGAUCCAGCCAUGCCGCGUGUGUGAAGAAGGUCUUCGGAUUGUAAAGCACUUUAAGUUGGGAGGAAGGGCAGUAAAUUAAUACUUUGCUGUUUUGACGUUACCGACAGAAUAAGCACCGGCUAACUCUGUG